CGCUGGCGGCAUGCCUUACACAUGCAAGUCGAACGGCAGCGGGCCCUUCGGGGUGCCGGCGAGUGGCGAACGGGUGAGUAAUGCAUCGGAACGUACCCGGGAGAGGGGGAUAACCGGCCGAAAGGCUGGCUAAUACCGCAUGAACUCGGAAGAGCAAAGCGGGGGACCUUCGGGCCUCGCGCUCUCGGAGCGGCCGAUGUCCGAUUAGGCUAGUUGGUGGGGUAAGGCCCACCAAGGCGACGAUCGGUAGCGGGUCUGAGAGGACGAUCCGCCACACUGGGACUGAGACACGGCCCAGA
rnacentral:rRNA from 1 species